UGAUGCAGCAACGCCGCGUGAGCGAUGAAGGCCUUCGGGUCGUAAAGCUCUGUCCUCAAGGAAGAUAAUGACGGUACUUGAGGAGGAAGCCCCGGCUAACUACGUGCCAGCAGCCGCGGUAAUACGUAGGGGGCUAGCGUUAUCCGGAAUUACUGGGCGUAAAGGGUGCGUAGGUGGUUUUUUAAGUCAGAAGUGAAAGGCUACGGCUCAACCGUAGUAAGCUUUUGAAACUAGAGAACUUGAGUGCAGGAGAGGAGAGUAGAAUUCCUAGUGUAGCGGUGAAAUGCGUAGAUAUUAGGAGGAAUACCAGUAGCGAAGGCGGCUCUCUGGACUGUAACUGACACUGAGGCACGAAAGCGUGGGGAGCAAACAGGAUUAGAUACCCGGGUAG
rnacentral:rRNA from 1 species